AGACCUCUGAUCAGAAAAGACUACCCGCUGAGUUUAAGCAUAUCACUAAGCGGAGGAGAAGAAACUAACCAGGAUUUCCCUAGUAACGGCGAGCGAACCGGAAAGAGCCCAGCUUGAAAAUCGU
rnacentral:rRNA from 1 species